GCCUACAGCCAUGCUAUGCUGAACAUGCCUGAUCUCUGAAGCUAAGCAGGGUUGGGCCUGGUUAGCCCUUGGAUGGGAAGCUGACUGGGGAAGACUGGGUGAUGCAGGCU
ensembl:rRNA 5S_rRNA 5S ribosomal RNA